UCCUAGCCCCGAUAGAAGAGGAAAUCCUUUUUUAUUUUUUCUUUAAAAAUAAAAAAGAUUGGAACGGAUAGCGGGAUUAGCU
rnacentral:sRNA from 1 species